rnacentral:rRNA from 1 species
UACGAAGGGGGCUAGCGUUGCUCGGAAUCACUGGGCGUAAAGCGCACGUAGGCGGAUUGCUAAGUCAGGGGUGAAAUCCUGGAGCUCAACUCCAGAACUGCCUUUGAUACUGGCGAUCUCGAGUUCGGGAGAGGUGAGUGGAACUGCGAGUGUAGAGGUGAAAUUCGUAGAUAUUCGCAAGAACACCAGUGGCGAAGGCGGCUCACUGGCCCGAUACUGACGCUGAUGUGCGAAAGCGUGGGGAGCAAACAGG